rnacentral:rRNA from 1 species
UACGGAGGGAGCUAGCGUUGUUCGGAAUUACUGGGCGUAAAGCGCACGUAGGCGGCUAUUCAAGUCGGGGGUGAAAGCCCGGGGCUCAACCCCGGAACUGCCCUCGAAACUAGAUAGCUAGAAUCUUGGAGAGGCGAGUGGAAUUCCGAGUGUAGAGGUGAAAUUCGUAGAUAUCAGGAAGAACACCCGUGGCGAAGGCGGCUCUCUGGGACGGUACUGACGCUGAGGAGCGAAAGCCAGGGGAGCAAACGGG